GGCCGCUGUGUUGACACGCUCUGCACCUUGCUCCUGCCCUCGCCUUUCACUCUUCUUAUGCCCCCGAUACCCCGAUCAUUCCUGACAGCUCCUGAGUGCCUGGAUUUCAUCAUCCAGCCCUGCAGGAUGCUCCCAUUUCUCCUGAGGAUGGCUGUCCCAGUUGGAGAAGAGGAGAUGGAGGUGGAUAUAGAGAUUGAUAGAGAGGAGGACAUGGAGACGGAGGGAGAAGACACUGGGGAGGAGGAGAUGGAGGUGGAGGUGAAGGUGGAAGAGGAGAUGGAAGUGGAUAUGGAAGAGUCCAUUGAGGACAUGGACAUUGAUUAAAAAGGUGUGAUGGACAGCACAGACAGAGACACCACCCUUGUGUAUAUAUGUUCUACACUUCGUUGUUGUUCUUUAGAAUAUAGAUUGUAGGGCUAUUUUUGACUUCUGUAAAUACGUUUCCCAUAGUUUUGCUAGGUAGGUUUUUCUUUAUAUAUGUUCUAUCGAUUGUUGUUGUUACAAAUAUUCUUACAAUGUAAAUAUGUUCUGUAUUUUUGCUGCUGUUCUUCUGUAAUAAACAAAUUUUAUUUUUCACA